GAUGAACGCUGGCGGCGUACCUAAUACAUGCAAGUCGAGCGAACAGACGAGGAGCUUGCUCCUCUGACGUUAGCGGCGGACGGGUGAGUAACACGUGGAUAACCUACCUAUAAGACUGGGAUAACUUCGGGAAACCGGAGCUAAUACCGGAUCAUAUAUUGAACCGCAUGGUUCAAUAGUGAAAGACGGUUUUGCUGUCACUUAUAGAUGGAUCCGCGCCGCAUUAGCUAGUUGGUAAGGUAACGGCUUACCAAGGCGACGAUGCGUAGCCGACCUGAGAGGGUGAUCGGCCACACUGGAACUGAGACACGGUCCAGACUCCUACGGGAGGCAGCAGUAGGGAAUCUUCCGCAAUGGGCGAAAGCCUGACGGAGCAACGCCGCGUGAGUGAUGAAGGUCUUCAGAUCGUAAAACUCUGUUAUUAGGGAAGAAAAAAUGUGUAAGUAACUAUGCACGUCUUGACGGUACCUAAUCAGAAAGCCACGGCUAACUACGUG
rnacentral:rRNA from 1 species